GAUGAACGCUGGCGGCGUGCCUAAUACAUGCAAGUCGAGCGAACAGAUGAGAAGCUUGCUUCUCUGAUGUUAGCGGCGGACGGGUGAGUAACACGUGGGUAACCUACCUAUAAGACUGGGAUAACUCAGGGAAACCGGGGCUAAUACCGGAUAAUAUUUUGAACCGCAUGGUUCAAUAGUGACAGUCGGUUUCGGCUGUAACGUAUAGAUGGACCCGCGCCGUAUUAGCUAGUUGGUAAGGUAACGGCUUACCAAGGCGACGAUACGUAGCCGACCUGAGAGGGUGAUCGGCCACACUGGAACUGAGACACGGUCCAGACUCCUACGGGAGGCAGCAGUAGGGAAUCUUCCGCAAUGGGCGAAAGCCUGACGGAGCAACGCCGCGUGAGUGAUGAAGGUCUUCGGAUCGUAAAACUCUGUUGUUAGGGAAGAACAAAUUUGUUAGUAACUGAACAAGUCUUGACGGUACCUAGCCAGAAAGCCACGGCUAACUACGUGCCAGCCGCCGCAGUAA
rnacentral:rRNA from 1 species